rnacentral:rRNA from 1 species
UACGGGGGGGGCAAGCGUUGUUCGGAAUUACUGGGCGUAAAGGGCUCGUAGGCGGCCAACUAAGUCAGACGUGAAAUCCCUCGGCUUAACCGGGGAACUGCGUCUGAGACUGGAUGGCUUGAGUGCAGGAGAGGAACGCGGAAUUCCAGGUGUAGCGGUGAAAUGCGUAGAUAUCUGGAGGAACACCGGUGGCGAAGGCGGCGUUCUGGACUGCAACUGACACUGAGGAACGAAAGCCAGGGGAGCAAACGGG